rnacentral:lncRNA from 1 species
GUGACAAAUGACCAUUAUUUUAUUCUUUUUCAUACGAAGAAUGAAGUACUAAUUGUCCUAGAAGUCAGUAAAUUAAGGGCACGGUAUCCUACACCAAUAGGAAAGUUUCCUCGUGAGAAUAUCCUCACAAAUGACGACACUCAAAGUAGUCCACUUAACCACUACAACCACAUCACAGUUCCACUCUUGCUUCAACACAUCUUUCUCUUUACUCUCUAUUCUCCCCAAGAAUAAAUUCCCUCCCUGUCCUAGGCCCUUCUCUAUCUCCUUCAGGUAUCUCUCCCCCACCCGCCCCCAACCUUCCCCAGUCCACUAGCUAUAUGUAAUUAUAUGUAUUUGUGUAUUUAUGAUGUAUCGUAUUAUAAUUUGUAAAUUGGGUUGAUUUGUAUUUUGUGAUUUUGAUUUGAUUAGUUAAUAACCCAUUCGAAUUAGCAAAUUUCUAUGCAUUAUUUAUGUGGGUUUUUUUCCCUUCCCUUUUUUGUUUUUUGUAGGAGAGUUGACUUUUAAUUAGCUUUAUAGUAUAAACUUGGAGUGAAGUUGGAUUAUUUUGAAACGAUGCUGUAAGAAAAUAUAAAUUCUGAAUAUUGUUUGCCCACGGGCUCGUUUUAUUUUAGUAAUAUUGAGUUGAAUUUCAAAUCACUUCAUUGCUAUUUGGAAGGAAAUUGAUGAGCUAGACAAACUAAAUUCAGGAUCUUGAUAUACACGUAUAGCAGUUAGUACCGGAAGCAUAAUAUUUUCAUCUACUUUUGAUCAUUAGAGCAGUGCUAAAGUUAUAAUUAGGAAACAUAUAGUGUUUCAAUUAUUUUCUGCCUUCCGAAUUUGACUGUACUUAAUGUUUGCUUGCUUCAGAAUUUGGCGAUGAGUGGAGAUUCCAUAAUAUUCCAAGUUUUUUAGAUGGAAAGUAAUUUCUCAUGGAUGUGCUGUUAUUUAUACAUUUGUUGAAUAUGGAUUCGAUUUUUCAUUGUGUUUACUUUCAUAAUUUCAAAUUAAC